rnacentral:tRNA from 1 species
AGCUUUAUAGUCAAUAUAUGAUAUUAGACUGCAAUUCUAAAGUAGAUAAUUUAUCUAAAGCUU